UGGCAGGUGCCAGAUCUCCAGGGCCCUGGGAGCCCUGGAGUGGGGUUCACAUUUUAUUCUCCGUGCCAGAGAAAGCCAUCGGGGGACUGUUAAGCAAUGCAUAUCCUGAUUUUGAAGCUCCAGGAAGACAGUCUAUGUCCCGAUUACUGUAGCAAUGAAUACUUCUUGAUGAGGUGAUGAAGUAGUGACUCUGCCUGCUGCAGAAGGCUUUCCUCUGCUAAACGCCUCCCAGCAUGUCUGCUAGAAAUCUUCAGCCAUCGGGAACAUCACCUCCUCACCCUUCCACAACUUUCCACCACUCCACGCAGACCUUAUCUUCACAGGAAGAAGGUACUGAGGGAGACGAGGAGAGUUCAAUGGAAGAAUUUCUAUUUCUUCAAGAGGAAGAGAGCCCAGAGGAAGACCAGUACCUAGAGGAGGAGGAAAAUUAUCUGAAAGGAAAGGAGUAUCUGUAUGAAAAGGAGUAUCUGAAGGAGGAAAAGUAUCUACAGAAGAAAGAGCUGCUGGAAGGAAAAAUGUUUCUGUGUGAAAAGUUUCUGGAAGAGGGUGAGUAUGUGGGGAGAACGUCCCAUAGAUGGUGGUUCUAGUUCAUCACGAUGUCCGGGAAAAAAGAACAGGCUUGAGAUACAGCCAAAGCGCAAAUGAUCGACCCUACACACUGCGCUGGCAGACUCAUGAAUCAUUUCUGACCAAGUUCGACUCACAACUUCAAGAGCUGUGCCCCCAAGCACUGAGCCUACGGAGCAGACGAGGAGACCUGAUGAACGGGAGCGCCUGUUCGUAAAAAACAAAAUAAGACAAACA